CUGCCCUGAGAGAACGGACGGCAACGCCUGCGAGCUGCCUGUGACCUUCAGGUGACCCCGGCCGUGACCUUCAGGUGACCCCGGCUCGGUCACCUUCAGCUGAAAAGGGCGGGAAGGAUGAGGUGAGGAAAAGAAGCGGCGGGAAGAGAAAACGGCGGGAAGAGAGAGAGGCGUUCUGAGCUCCUAUUGGCUGCCGGGCGGCAGGGAAGCCUAUAUAAGGCGCAUGGGCGGGAAGGUGAGCGACAGGUAUUUACCUCAGAGCACGAGAAGGAGCGGAGCGCUGCGAGGGAAGGACAGCAGGCGGAAUCCAAGCAACGCCGAGACAGAGGUUUCAGGAUCUGCUGCCGAAGAUGGAAGAAGCGGUGUGGAGAACCGGGAGGCAGGAGUGAAGAUGAAGAGGAAGCAGAAGCCUGCAGAUGCGGGGGGGAAGGAGAGAGGCACCCUGGGCAAAGCAUCUCCCUGCUAGCAGGGGUGUAGUCAAAUUGGAGUUGAGCGUUGCCGGCGCCUUGGGUGACCCGGCCGGCUUUGUGCUGGGCGACCUCCCUGUAAGCAGGGCUCUGGUCUUUGCUGUAGUUGUGGUUGGCCUUUUGCCUCCUUGCUCCUUUGGCUGCCUGGGGAGCGUGGCCCCCUGUACGGAGGGCGAGAGCCACCUCUCCGCACCCGAGUGGGAAAUGGAGCUCGCUGGACCCCAGGGCCACCCUGUAAGCAGGGUAGUGCCUUUCCCUGCCCCUCCUCCUCCGGCCCCGCAGUGCUGUUGCCUGCUGGUGGCCUGUCCAUGUGCCCGCCCUGUACUCGGGGUGUGCGUCACGGCGUUUGGCCUUUGUCCUUUGAGUAGCCCCUUGGCACGUUGAGGUCUGUGGCCUCCGUGCAGCCCGGGGAUGGGUCCCAGGCUCUUGUCUGUUGCUCGUAGGUGUGGGUUUAUUCCCAGGGAUUGGCUGUGCUGCGUUGUCCUUCCCUUCUGGAAAGUUGCAUCCGUGUGUGUGUUGCCCUUUCCUUUCCUUGUUUGUGUUUGUGGAGUGACUGAGCACCUGUGCUUUCCCUUUAGGCCUCCUCAAAAUUGCUGCAGCUUAGCUGUGACUUCCCAGGGAGGAAUGGAGGACUUUGGUGCAUGCCGCAUGAGGGGUGUUCCCUCACCUCAGUCCUGCGAGCGCAGCGGAUGUCCUGUGUGUCCUGUUUCCUUUUUGCUUAGUAGAGAUCUGAGCCACAUGGUAGUUGUGUGGCCAAGGCCACCCUGUAUCCAGGGCUUGGGCCUGUCCUUGUGUGGCCGCCUGUUCUGCUGGCGGCGUGACAACCCUGUACUCGGGGUGCAUGUCACAAGCCCUCUGUUCCCCGAGCAGCCCGUCCCCUGUACCCCCCCUGUAAUCAGGGCUGGGGAGGCUGCAGCGUUGCAGCGGCUGCUUUAGCCAUCCAGCUGGUGGGAGUGACCCCUCCCUGUCCCGUCAGAGGGUGCAGGUUGAGGUGCUGACUGUGUGUGGGGUGACCUCCCCGCUCGGUGGGUUGAGGUUGCUCUCUGAGCUCCCAAAGAUGUGCUGAUGUUGUGCUGCCGGGCGGGCCAGCCUGUAGCUCAGGCGUUGGCGGGAGCCACGUGCUCCGCGGGGCUUCUUGGAGAUAGAUGGUGAGGCGUGGGGCGCCGUCCUGUAGGCAGGGCCGUGCGUGCCCCCUGUGCUUGGUGAGCUGCGUUGUGAGAGACAGACCCCCUGUACUCAGGCGGGAAUGUGGCCCCGGCCUUUCAGAGGCACGGGGCUGCGAGAUGUGGGGCUGGGCUUGCACCCUCCCUGGAUUUGGGCUGGCAUCCGACCGCGGCCUUUGGCCGUGUCGCCCCGCUGCCUGGCGGCUCAGAGUUGCUCCUGCUGCUGGGGGGGAAACCGAGCUCUGUGGCUCCAGGGGUGUUGUCGGCCCGCCUGUAAUCAGGGUCUGGGCGUGCGAGCCUCUGUGCUCUGCUGGCAGCCUGUGUGGGGUGACCGCCCUGUUAGCGGGCUGCGGGUCAAAGCACCCCCGACUGGGAGAGAAGGAGCCUCCCGCGGCCUUAGGGAUGGGGGCUGCCCUGUAACUCAGGGAGCGGCUGUGCCCCGCAGUCCCAGGCCCUUUGCCAUGGAGACAGUGGCGGGGGGUCCCCUGUAAGCAGGGAAGCAGACUCCUUUGCCGCUGCUUUUAGUGUGCCCAGCUCCAUUUGCCCAGUCUGCCCGCCUCUGCGAUCCCCUGCAACGCUGGCUGGAGCCUGCGCCGUGCGCCUCUGAGGAUCUGCUGCCGAAGAUGGAAGAAGCGGUGUGGAGAACCGGGAGGCAGGAGCGAAGAGGAAGAGGAAGCAGAAGCCUGCAGAUGCGGGGGGGGAGAGAGGCACCCUGGGCAAAGCAUCUCCCUGCUAGCAGGGGUGUAGUCAAAUUGGAGUUGAGCGUUGCCGGCGCCUUGGGUGACCCGGCCGGCUUUGUGCUGGGCGACCUCCCUGUAAGCAGGGCUCUGGUCUUUGCUGUAGUUGUGGUUGGCCUUUUGCCUCCUUGCUCCUUUGGCUGCCUGGGGAGCGUGGCCCCCUGUACGGAGGGCGAGAGCCACCUCUCCGCACCCGAGUGGGAAAUGGAGCUCGCUGGACCCCAGGGCCACCCUGUAAGCAGGGUAGUGCCUUUCCCUGCCCCUCCUCCUCCGGCCCCGCAGUGCUGUUGCCUGCUGGUGGCCUGUCAAUGUGCCAGCCCUGUACUCGGGGUGUGCGUCACGGCGUUUGGCCUUUGUCCUUUGAGUAGCCCCUUGGCACGUUGAGGUCUGUGGCCUCCGUGCAGCCCGGGGAUGGGUCCCAGGCUCUUGUCUGUUGCUCGUAGGUGUGGGUUUAUUCCCAGGGAUUGGCUGUGCUGCGUUGUCCUUCCCUUCUGGAAAGUUGCAUCCGUGUGUGUGUUGCCCUUUCCUUUCCUUGUUUGUGUUUGUGGAGUGGCUGAGCACCUGUGCUUUCCCUUUAGGCCUCCUCAAAAUUGCUGCAGCUUAGCUGUGACUUCCCAGGGAGGAAUGGAGGACUUUGGUGCAUGCCGCAUGAGGGGUGUUCCCUCACCUCAGUCCUGCGAGCGCAGCGGAUGUCCUGUGUGUCCUGUUUCCUUUUUGCUUAGUAGAGAUCUGAGCCACAUGGUAGUUGUGUGGCCAAGGCCACCCUGUAUCCAGGGCUUGGGCCUGUCCUUGUGUGGCCGCCUGUUCUGCUGGCGGCGUGACAACCCUGUACUCGGGGUGCAUGUCACAAGCCCUCUGUUCCCCGAGCAGCCCGUCCCCUGUACCCCCCCUGUAAUCAGGGCUGGGGAGGCUGCAGCGUUGCAGCGGCUGCUUUAGCCAUCCAGCUGGUGGGAGUGACCCCUCCCUGUCCCGUCAGAGGGUGCAGGUUGAGGUGCUGACUGUGUGUGGGGUGACCUCCCCGCUCGGUGGGUUGAGGUUGCUCUCUGAGCUCCCAAAGAUGUGCUGAUGUUGUGCUGCCGGGCGGGCCAGCCUGUAGCUCAGGCGUUGGCGGGAGCCACGUGCUCCGCGGGGCUUCUUGGAGAUAGAUGGUGAGGCGUGGGGCGCCGUCCUGUAGGCAGGGCCGUGCGUGCCCCCUGUGCUUGGUGAGCUGCGUUGUGAGAGACAGACCCCCUGUACUCAGGCGGGAAUGUGGCCCCGGCCUUUCAGAGGCACGGGGCUGCGAGAUGUGGGGCUGGGCUUGCACCCUCCCUGGAUUUGGGCUGGCAUCCGACCGCAGCCUUUGGCCGUGUCGCCCCGCUGCCUGGCGGCUCAGAGUUGCUCCUGCUGCUGGGGGGGAAACCGAGCUCUGUGGCUCCAGGGGUGUUGUCGGCCCGCCUGUAAUCAGGGUCUGGGCGUGCGAGCCUCUGUGCUCUGCUGGCAGCCUGUGUGGGGUGACCGCCCUGUUAGCGGGCUGCGGGUCAAAGCACCCCCGACUGGGAGAGAAGGAGCCUCCCGCGGCCUUAGGGAUGGGGGCUGCCCUGUAACUCAGGGAGCGGCUGUGCCCCGCAGUCCCAGGCCCUUUGCCAUGGAGACAGUGGCGGGGGGUCCCCUGUAAGCAGGGAAGCAGACUCCUUUGCCGCUGCUUUUAGUGUGCCCAGCUCCAUUUGCCCAGUCUGCCCGCCUCUGCGAUCCCCUGCAACGCUGGCUGGAGCCUGCGCCGUGCGCCUCUGAGGAUCUGCUGCCGAAGAUGGAAGAAGCGGUGUGGAGAACCGGGAGGCAGGAGCGAAGAGGAAGAUGAAGAGGAAGAGGAAGCAGAAGCCUGCAGAUGCGGGGGGGAAGGAGAGAGGCACCCUGGGCAAAGCAUCUCCCUGCUAGCAGGGGUGUAGUCAAAUUGGAGUUGAGCGUUGCCGGCGCCUUGGGUGACCCGGCCGGCUUUGUGCUGGGCGACCUCCCUGUAAGCAGGGCUCUGGUCUUUGCUGUAGUUGUGGUUGGCCUUUUGCCUCCUUGCUCCUUUGGCUGCCUGGGGAGCGUGGCCCCCUGUACGGAGGGCGAGAGCCACCUCUCCGCACCCGAGUGGGAAAUGGAGCUCGCUGGACCCCAGGGCCACCCUGUAAGCAGGGUAGUGCCUUUCCCUGCCCCUCCUCCUCCGGCCCCGCAGUGCUGUUGCCUGCUGGUGGCCUGUCAAUGUGCCAGCCCUGUACUUGUAUUUCUGUCAAAUGGCGUGGAGCCCUCUGUCCCCCGAGCGGCCUACUGCCCCUAUGCUCCCUGUAAUCAGGGCUGGGGAGGCUGCAGCGUUGCAGCGGCUGCUUUAGCCAUCCAGCUGGUGGGAGUGACCCCUCCCUGUCCCGUCAGAGGGUGCAGGUUGAGGUGCUGACUGUGUGUGGGGUGACCUCCCCGCUCGGUGGGUUGAGGUUGCUCUCUGAGCUCCCAAAGAUGUGCUGAUGUUGUGCUGCCGGGCGGGCCAGCCUGUAGCUCAGGCGUUGGCGGGAGCCACGUGCUCCGCGGGGCUUCUUGGAGAUAGAUGGUGAGGCGUGGGGCGCCGUCCUGUAGGCAGGGCCGUGCGUGCCCCCUGUGCUUGGUGAGCUGCGUUGUGAGAGACAGACCCCCUGUACUCAGGCGGGAAUGUGGCCCCGGCCUUUCAGAGGCACGGGGCUGCGAGAUGUGGGGCUGGGCUUGCACCCUCCCUGGAUUUGGGGCUGGCAUCCAACCGCGGCCUUUGGCCGUGUCGCCCCGCUGCCUGGCGGCUCAGAGUUGCUCCUGCUGCUGGGGGGGAAACCGAGCUCUGUGGCUCCAGGGGUGUUGUCGGCCCGCCUGUAAUCAGGGUCUGGGCGUGCGAGCCUCUGUGCUCUGCUGGCAGCCUGUGUGGGGUGACCGCCCUGUUAGCGGGCUGCGGGUCAAAGCACCCCCGACUGGGAGAGAAGGAGCCUCCCGCGGCCUUAGGGAUGGGGGCUGCCCUGUAACUCAGGGAGCGGCUGUGCCCCGCAGUCCCAGGCCCUUUGCCAUGGAGACAGUGGCGGGGGGUCCCCUGUAAGCAGGGAAGCAGACUCCUUUGCCGCUGCUUUUAGUGUGCCCAGCUCCAUUUGCCCAGUCUGCCCGCCUCUGCGAUCCCCUGCAACGCUGGCUGGAGCCUGCGCCGUGCGCCUCUGAGGAUCUGCUGCCGAAGAUGGAAGAAGCGGUGUGGAGAACCGGGAGGCAGGAGUAGGCAAGAAGCGGAAGCUUUUUACUGUCUUAUUUCAUGUGCUUCUUUUGUGUUUAGUACCUUUUGCUCAUGUAUGUACGUAUGUAUUACUUGAUUUCUUCUUAUUGCCUC